rfam:Nicotiana sylvestris Nsyl_contig9325, whole genome shotgun sequence.
AUUCGUUGGAUGAAUGUGAGACAUUAGAUUGAUUUCGUUCAAUCCGAGCCCCACAUUCAUUAAGGGUUCGU